rnacentral:rRNA from 1 species
CCUACGGGUGGCAGCAGUGGGGAAUAUUGGACAAUGGGGGCAACCCUGAUCCAGCCAUGCCGCGUGUGUGAAGAAGGCCCUCGGGUUGUAAAGCACUUUCAGUGAGGAAGAACGCCUGGUGGUUAAUACCCAUCAGGAAAGACAUCACUCACAGAAGAAGCACCGGCUAACUCCGUGCCAGCAGCCGCGGUAAUACGGAGGGUGCGAGCGUUAAUCGGAAUUACUGGGCGUAAAGCGCGCGUAGGUGGCUUGAUAAGCCGGUUGUGAAAGCCCCGGGCUCAACCUGGGAACGGCAUCCGGAACUGUCAAGCUAGAGUGCAGGAGAGGAAGGUAGAAUUCCCGGUGUAGCGGUGAAAUGCGUAGAGAUCGGGAGGAAUACCAGUGGCGAAGGCGGCCUUCUGGACUGACACUGACACUGAGGUGCGAAAGCGUGGGUAGCAAACAGGAUUAGAUACCCGAAUAGUC